rnacentral:rRNA from 1 species
GUAGGGAAUCUUCCGCAAUGGACGAAAGUCUGACGGAGCAACGCCGCGUGAGCGAAGAAGGUCUUCGGAUCGUAAAGCUCUGUUGUUAGGGAAGAACAAGUACCGUUCGAAUAGGGCGGUACCGUGACGGUACCUAACCAGAAAGCCACGGCUAACUACGUGCCAGCAGCCGCGGUAAUACGUAGGUGGCAAGCGUUGUCCGGAAUUAUUGGGCGUAAAGCGCGCGCAGGCGGCUUCUUAAGUCUGAUGUGAAAGCCCGCAGCUCAACUGCGGAGGGUCAUUGGAAACUGGGAAGCUUGAGUGCAGAAGAGGAGAGUGGAAUUCCACGUGUAGCGGUGAAAUGCGUAGAGAUGUGGAGGAACACCAGUGGCGAAGGCGGCUCUCUGGUCUGUAACUGACGCUGAGGCGCGAAAGCGUGGGGAGCAAACAGGAUUAGAAACCCCUGUAGUCC